GUGCACGCUGGCGGUAGGCCUAACACGUGCCAGUCGCACGGCAGCACAGUAAGAGCUUGCUCUUACGGGUGGCGAGUGGCGGACGGGUGAGGAAUACAUCGGAAUCUACUUUUUCGUGGGGGAUAACGUAGGGAAACUUACGCUAAUACCGCAUACGACCUACGGGUGAAAGCAGGGGAUCUUCGGACCUUGCGCGAUUGAAUGAGCCGAUGUCGGAUUAGCUAGUUGGCGGGGUAAAGGCCCACCAAGGCGACGAUCCGUAGCUGGUCUGAGAGGAUGAUCAGCCACACUGGAACUGAGACACGGUCCAGACUCCUACGGGAGGCAGCAGUGGGGAAUAUUGGACAAUGGGCGCAAGCCUGAUCCAGCCAUACCGCGUGGGUGAAGAAGGCCUUCGGGUUGUAAAGCCCUUUUGUUGGGAAAGAAAAGCAGCAGGUUAAUACCCCGCUGUUCUGACGGUACCCAAAGAAUAAGCACCGGCUAACUUCGUG
rnacentral:rRNA from 1 species